rnacentral:lncRNA from 1 species
GUCAGCUGUCAUGUUGCUUUCUUAAUAAUCUUAAGGCAUUCCCAGAGAGUUUUCUAAGAUUGCAAGACAUACCUGGCCCCAGGCGGAAUAGUUUGGCCUCAGCCAACACGUAAAUGAUGCAGACAGAUCCCAUGUGACAGGUUAUGCAACUGAGCUGAGCUUUAUAUACCCGGAAGACCUUAAGCAUGUAAAAGGCUGUAGGGAAAAGAGCAUCAGGGUUUGAAAUUCUACGAAGACUCAGAAAUCAUGGUUAUUCCUCUCUGGAGAAUGACACCUGGGUAUAUAAGGUUGUUGCAGACUCAAGCUGCAGGAAAAGUCGUUAUCAAAUCAUCAGACACAGUGCUGCAAUGGGCCGCGUUGCUGCUGGGAAUGUCUGGGAUCAGUAUCUCCAGCUACAGCACACACCGACUAACUCAAAAGAAGAGGAUUCCCUUGACCCUUUAAGCUGUGUUGGGAUGUGACCCAAGAAGUAAAGGCUUAUGUCAGUAGUGCUGAUGAGUGGAUUUUCUGCCUCAGUUACCAGUUUGGAGGCAAUGAGUCACUUUGCAACUGUGAUUUUCUACAUGCAAAGUUAAAAACCGGAGAAUUACAGAAUUCUUCAAGAAAGAAAAAAAGAAUAAUGACUAGCAGAGGCAUCAGAUUUCCAAAUAAGAUGAACUGUUUGUAAAUACAAUGGACUUCUUUCGUUAACUAGUGUAUAAACAGAGAGGGAUCUAAAGAUACAAAAUAGAGGUAAAAUCGGAGUAGGGGUGAACAGAUUGAUGGGGGUGCCGUGCUUGGUUAGUGUCACCUUGUUGCAGCUUUUGCAAAUUGAUUUCUACGCAAAGGCUGGUUUUGAAAAGGCAAAGUUAGAAGCAAUAUAUUCCUCAUGACAAGAGUUAGACCAAAUAAAAAUAAUUUCUCAUAAAUGCUUUGUACUGCU